rnacentral:rRNA from 1 species
GACGAACGCUGGCGGCGUGCCUAAUACAUGCAAGUUGAGCGAUGAAGAUUGGUGCUUGCACCAAUUUGAAGAGCAGCGAACGGGUGAGUAACGCGUGGGGAAUCUGCCUUUGAGCGGGGGACAACAUUUGGAAACGAAUGCUAAUACCGCAUAACAACUUUAAACAUAAGUUUUAAGUUUGAAAGAUGCAAUUGCAUCACUCAAAGAUGAUCCCGCGUUGUAUUAGCUAGUUGGUGAGGUAAAGGCUCACCAAGGCGAUGAUACAUAGCCGACCGGAGAGGGCGGUCGGCCACAUUGGGACUGAGACACGGCCCAAACUCCUACGGGAGGCAGCAGUAGGGAAUCUUCGGCAAUGGACGAAAGUCUGACCGAGCAACGCCGCGUGAGUGAAGAAGGUUUUCGGAUCGUAAAACUCUGUUGGUAGAGAAGAACGUUGGUGAGAGUGGAAAGCUCAUCAAGUGACGGUAACUACCCAGAAAGGGACGGCUAACUACGUG